UGGCGGACGGGUGAGUAAUGUCUGGGAAACUACCUGAUGGAGGGGGAUAACUACUGGAAACGGUAGCUAAUACCGCAUAACGUCGCAAGACCAAAGAGGGGGACCCUCGGGCCUCUUGCCAUCGGAUGUGCCCAGAUGGGAUUAGCUUGUUGGUGGGGUAACGGCUCACCAAGGCGACGAUCCCUAGCUGGUCUGAGAGGAUGACCAGCCACACUGGAACUGAGACACGGUCCAGACUCCUACGGGAGGCAGCAUG
rnacentral:rRNA from 1 species